GACGAACGCUGGCGGCGUGCCUAAUACAUGCAAGUCGAACGCACUCUCGUUAGAUUGAAGAAGCUUGCUUCUGAUUGAUAACAUUUGAGUGAGUGGCGGACGGGUGAGUAACACGUGGGUAACCUGCCCUAAAGUGGGGGAUAACAUUUGGAAACAGAUGCUAAUACCGCAUAAAACCUAGCACCGCAUGGUGCAAGGUUGAAAGAUGGUUUCGGCUAUCACUUUAGGAUGGACCCGCGGUGCAUUAGUUAGUUGGUGAGGUAAAGGCUCACCAAGACCGUGAUGCAUAGCCGACCUGAGAGGGUAAUCGGCCACACUGGGACUGAGACACGGCCCAGACUCCUACGGGAGGCAGCAGUAGGGAAUCUUCCACAAUGGACGAAAGUCUGAUGGAGCAACGCCGCGUGAGUGAAGAAGGUUUUCGGAUCGUAAAACUCUGUUGUUGGAGAAGAACGUAUUUGAUAGUAACUGAUCAGGUAGUGACGGUAGCCAACCAGAAAGCCACGGCUAACUACGUG
rnacentral:rRNA from 1 species